ACUCCACAUCCUGCGUGGCCUCCAAGAGCAAAUCCAGCAUCACCUUAGGGAGCUGCGGAGGGAGGAUGGAGCCCAGGGGCCCACUGACCAGAGGAAGAAGGAGCAUGAGCAGAGGUGUCAGCGAGAGCAGCUUUGCAUGGAGAAGGCAACAUCUCUGGGAGCCCUGAAGGAUCAGCUGAUCCAGAGACGGGGUGAACAGCGACACCUCCAUCCCACCUCCCUGUCCAUGGGCACCAUGCCUGGCCUCCAACAGCAUGGCUGGGGGUCCCUGGGGCUCCUGCACCAUGUCCAGUGCUGCGUGCAGGAGCUGCAGCAGGAGAAGACACACCACAUGGGCAGCCUGGGAAACCUGUGUGCCCCAGGAGGAGAGCUGAGCACCACAGCGAGAAGUGGGGUAUGGGGACAGCCUGGUCAAAGGGACUCAACUUCUGCCCCAGCCUCACCCAAGCAAGAAGAGAAGAGCUGCACCACAGAGCAUCCCUGGUAGGAAGAAGUCCUGCAGUGGGGUGAGGACACCAGAGUUUUGUUUCUAACCUAGAGACCAUAGGCAGAUCCCCCCGCCACCAUAAAUCUGUGUGUCACAGGGCUAGACAUGCCAGGAUCAUUUUUUGAAGGCUGAGGGACAUGCUGGUGGGAGGACCAUGGAGGUCCUAGGGAGCCCUCUCCUGGGUUUGCCUGGAUGAGGCACAGGCUUCCCUACACUCCUCUCCCCACUCUGUGGCUUCUUCUCUGCUCUGCCCAAUCUCCUAUCUCCUACCCUGGGACGUAGCCAUGGAACACAUCUCACAGACAGGUUGGAGGUGACAUUUCCUUUUCUGUUCCGCCACAAGGACAAACAUUUUUGUGGAAUCUGGCUCUUUCUCUGCUGUGACAGAGGCUCCUGAUGGGCCCAAAUGCCACUGGUCCCCCACACCUUGGCAUGAAUGGCAGGAACGAGCAAGUUAUGCUGCCUGAGGGCACUGGAGAGACCUGGCAAGCCCAGACUUCCACCGUUAAUAAGCUGGCUCUAUUGAAGUGUCUGAGCAAGUGCCAGAGGGUGGGCAGAAGUGCAGAGACAGCACGCAGAGGCUGCAGUGAGGCCCAGGUGUUACAGUCACGGGGUUGCAUCAACUUGCCAUGGACACAAUUGCAAAGCUCCUGCAGAUGCCUCAUUACAAAGGGCUGCGUGGCUUGACCCUGGCAAGUGGCCCCAGGCGAGCAGGACCUGGCCACAACGGCCAACCCGGGGGCACUGACCCUGGGGUGGCCACAGGCAGAGAUGUGUAAUGAAAACAACAAUGGGGAACUGUUCUGUUUAGAUGCUUUAAUUUAAUUUUGAGAAGGAGAAACAUAUUUCUCAGUCUCUACACAUCUCACCAGAGAGAAUGCUGGGUUUAAUCUGCUGGAGAAUGUCCAAGGAGAGUCGCUCCGUGGGCAAGGGGGAAAAUGAGAA